UCUUUAUGGGGUGACUGCGUACCUUUUGUAUAAUGGGUCAGCGACUUAUAUUCUGUAGCAAGGUUAACCGAAUAGGGGAGCCGAAGGGAAACCGAGUCUUAACUGGGCGUUAAGUUGCAGGGUAUAGACCCGAAACCCGGUGAUCUAGCCAUGGGCAGGUUGAAGGUUGGGUAACACUAACUGGAGGACCGAACCGACUAAUGUUGAAAAAUUAGCGGAUGACUUGUGGCUGGGGGUGAAAGGCCAAUCAAACCGGGAGAUAGCUGGUUCUCCCCGAAAGCUAUUUAGGUAGCGCCUCGUGAAUUCAUCUCCGGGGGUAGAGCACUGUUUCGGCAAGGGGGUCAUCCCGACUUACCAACCCGAUGCAAACUGCGAAUACCGGAGAAUGUUAUCACGGGAGACACACGGCGGGUGCUAACGUCCGUCGUGAAGAGGGAAACAACCCAGACCGCCAGCUAAGGUCCCAAAGUCAUGGUUAAGUGGGAAACGAUGUGGGAAGGCCCAGACAGCCAGGAUGUUGGCUUAGAAGCAGCCAUCAUUUAAAGAAAGCGUAAUAGCUCACUGGUCGAGUCGGCCUGCGCGGAAGAUGUAACGGGGCUAAACCAUGCACCGAAGCUGCGGCAGCGACACUAUGUGUUGUUGGGUAGGGGAGCGUUCUGUAAGCCUGUGAAGGUGGCCUGUGAGGGUUGCUGGAGGUAUCAGAAGUGCGAAUGCUGACAUAAGUAACGAUAAAGCGGGUGAAAAGCCCGCUCGCCGGAAGACCAAGGGUUCCUGUCCAACGUUAAUCGGGGCAGGGUGAGUCGACCCCUAAGGCGAGGCCGAAAGGCGUAGUCGAUGGGAAACAGGUUAAUAUUCCUGUACUUGGUGUUACUGCGAAGGGGGGACGGAGAAGGCUAUGUUGGCCGGGCGACGGUUGUCCCGGUUUAAGCGUGUAGGCUGAUUUUCCAGGCAAAUCCGGAAAAUCAAGGCUGAGGCGUGAUGACGAGGCACUACGGUGCUGAAGCAACAAAUGCCCUGCUUCCAGGAAAAGCCUCUAAGCAUCAGGUAACAUCAAAUCGUACCCCAAACCGACACAGGUGGUCAGGUAGAGAAUACCAAGGCGCUUGAGAGAACUCGGGUGAAGGAACUAGGCAAAAUGGUGCCGUAACUUCGGGAGAAGGCACGCUGAUAUGUAGGUGAAGCGACUUGCUCGUGGAGCUGAAAUCAGUCGAAGAUACCAGCUGGCUGCAACUGUUUAUUAAAAACACAGCACUGUGCAAACACGAAAGUGGACGUAUACGGUGUGACGCCUGCCCGGUGCCGGAAGGUUAAUUGAUGGGGUUAGCGGUAACGCGAAGCUCUUGAUCGAAGCCCCGGUAAACGGCGGCCGUAACUAUAACGGUCCUAAGGUAGCGAAAUUCCUUGUCGGGUAAGUUCCGACCUGCACGAAUGGCGUAAUGAUGGCCAGGCUGUCUCCACCCGAGACUCAGUGAAAUUGAACUCGCUGUGAAGAUGCAGUGUACCCGCGGCAAGACGGAAAGACCCCGUGAACCUUUACUAUAGCUUGACACUGAACAUUGAGCCUUGAUGUGUAGGAUAGGUGGGAGGCUUUGAAGUGUGGACGCCAGUCUGCAUGGAGCCGACCUUGAAAUACCACCCUUUA
rnacentral:rRNA from 1 species